UCACUGCCUUUGAGCCCCCACUGCGUCUGCGCGCGGAGCCUGGAGUCAGGCUGCAAAGCCAGAGCACGCGCUUGCGCGUAAAUGGGGCUGCCGGGUCAUCCGCCCGCGACCGUUUUAACCGCGAGAGACGGCU
ensembl:snoRNA